AGAGCGAACGCUGGCGGCAGGCUUAACACAUGCAAGUCGAGCGGGCGUAGCAAUACGUCAGCGGCAGACGGGUGAGUAACGCGUGGGAACAUACCUUUUGGUUCGGAACAACACAGGGAAACUUGUGCUAAUACCGGAUAAGCCCUUACGGGGAAAGAUUUAUCGCCGAAAGAUUGGCCCGCGUCUGAUUAGCUAGUUGGUGAGGUAACGGCUCACCAAGGCGACGAUCAGUAGCUGGUCUGAGAGGAUGAUCAGCCACAUUGGGACUGAGACACGGCCCAAACUCCUACGGGAGGCAGCAGUGGGAAUAUUGGACAAUGGGCGCAAGCCUGAUCCAGCCAUGCCGCGUGGAUGAUGAAGGCCUUAGGGUUGUAAAGUCCUUUUAACGGGGAAGAUAAUGACGGUACCCGUAGAAUAAGCCCGGCUAACUUCGCGCCAGCAGCCGC
rnacentral:rRNA from 1 species